UGGGGGAUAUUGCACAAUGGGCGAAAGCCUGAUGCAGCGACGCCGCGUGGGGGAUGAAGGCUUUCGGGUUGUAAACCUCUUUCGCUAUCGAACAAGGCCCGCUUAGGGUGGGUUGAGGGUAGGUGGAGAAGUAGCGCCGGCUAACUACGUGCCAGCAGCCGCGGUAAUACGUAGGGCGCGAGCGUUGUCCGGAAUUAUUGGGCGUAAAGGGCUUGUAGGCGGCUUGUUGCGCCUGCUGUGAAAACGCGGGGCUUAACUUCGCGCGUGCAGUGGGUACGGGCAGGCUUGAGUGUGGUAGGGGUGACUGGAAUUCCAGGUGUAGCGGUGGAAUGCGCAGAUAUCUGGAGGAACACCGAUGGCGAAGGCAGGUCACUGGGCCAUUACUGACGCUGAGGAGCGAAAGCAUGGGUAGCGAACAGG
rnacentral:rRNA from 1 species